rnacentral:rRNA from 1 species
AAUCGCGGAUCAGAAUGCCGCGGUGAAUACGUUCCCGGGUCUUGUACACACCGCCCGUCACACCAUGGGAGUCGGGAAUGCCCGAAGUCAGUGGCCUAACCACAACGUGGAAGGAGCUGCCGAAGGCAGGCCUGGUGACUGGGGUGAAGUCGUAACAAGGUAUC